rnacentral:ribozyme from 1 species
AGUUGCAAGCUCAAGGCCACAGCAGGAGUAUUCAUGUUGCGGCCAUGUCAGAUUCCAAUAAAUCUGUGAAUUCUGCU